UGAGGAAUUUUGCGCAAUGGGGGAAACCCUGACGCAGCGACGCCGCGUGGAGGAUGAAGUAUCUCGGUAUGUAAACUCCUGUCAGUGGGGAUGAUGAUGACAGUACCCACAGAGGAAGCACCGGCUAACUCCGUGCCAGCAGCCGCGGUAAGACGGAGGGUGCAAGCGUUGUUCGGAAUUACUGGGCGUAAAGCGUACGUAGGCGGUGGAUUAAGUCGAAUGUUAAAGCCUGGGGCUCAACCCCAGAGAUGCAUUCGAUACUGGUUCACUAGAGGGUGAUAGAGGAAAGCGGAAUUCCGAGUGUAGCGGUGAAAUGCGUAGAUAUUCGGAGGAACAUCAGUAGCGAAGGCGGCUUUCUGGGUCACACCUGACGCUGAGGUACGAAAGCGUGGGGAGCAAA
rnacentral:rRNA from 1 species